rnacentral:lncRNA from 1 species
UGGCGCUGGCCUGCUCUUACGUGCAAGGUCCGCUCCCGUAUCACCCAUCAUUGUGCAACGAAUGCGGCGGAGGGGUUGUGAGGUGCGGCGGUGUGGGGAUGGCGCCGCGGGCGCGCCUUGUGGUGAAGUUUGAUUCGGAUUGAGCGCGGCUGGAAUUGCGUGUGAGGGCCUACAAAGCAGCGACUAAGCUUCUGUGAAAGAUGGUGUUCCGGCGCCCACGGUUACGGCUUCAGCCGAACGUGGUGGCGCGGCCAGCGCCACGCGAGCCAGACGCGACACCGGCCGCUGCCGCCGCGCCCGCCGCCGCGCCGCCCGCAAAGCCGCGUCCCCAGCUGCCGGCCCGCUUCAAACGUCUGGCGCCACGCCUUGACGUGGGCCGCGGGACUGCUGAGGCGGCCCGUGAAGAGGGCAGCACCAAAGAGCCGGCAGGUGGCAGCACUGGAGAAAACGUACGGCCCGCGACCGGUCCUAUCUCCGGGCCGCCGGCGGCGCCAGAGGCAGCGGC